GGGAAAGAAAAUAGGGAUUACAACUACCUUUUUACUGGGUAGAAUACCAAAAAGAGAAUAUCUGUCAUCAGUUAGGAUGAACAUAUCAAGGAUAGAAUCAAAGCAGGGGAAGAAAAUAUUUGUCAUCAGUUAAGAUGAACAUAUCAAGGAUAGGCUUCCUAGGGAAACGUAAAAAUGAAUCUGCUGGGGAGAAAAGGUUACUUUUGUCGGGUAUUGGGCAAAAGUGGA
rnacentral:lncRNA from 1 species